CUCUGGAAACCAGUUGUCAGGUACGACUUUUCUUAUCUCGUGACAACUUCAAGUCGUUGGAAAUUUCAAUUCGCACCGGAAUUCGGUGGGGCGCUUCUGGCGCGGUGGGAGAAACGAAAAAUGGACAUACCUUUGCUUGUUUUGCUGCACCUUUGUUUGUCUGUAAGAUCUCUCCAUCUUUCUUGUCCACGAGAGAAAAAAUAGAUUGCAGGUCUAGCAGGGAUAAGGAUUAGCACAUCAAUAGUUAGAGUGAUAAAAGAAAAGUGAUAAAAGAAAGGUUGAUGGAAUUUUGA